rnacentral:lncRNA from 1 species
GAGGAGCGGGGAAUGGGCAGCAUUUGAAUGGAUGCGGGUGCCGCUGGCACCCGGGAAGACGCUGGGGGCCGGCGCUGUAGAGCCGGGCAUGGGCUGGGAUGUGUUUGGAUUCCAAUCCGGGCCUGACACCAGUUCAGUGACCUCGGGAAGUUCCCCAACCCUCCGGGCCUGUUUCCUCCCUCUGAAGUGGCGACAGUAGUAGAACCGACCUCGUAGGCUCAUCGGGAGGUCCUGAUGGGAGAACCCAUGCAACUUGCCACCAUAGAGCCAGGCCCGCGGCGGUUGGCGCCUGGUGGGUAUUAAAGACGAGUCGGGAAAGAAGAGCAGGUUGAUAGACUGGAUGCUGCUAUGGUAAUCUGCCUCAGGAAAAUGCCGGACUGUUGUUUGCAAGCUGGUUAAGUGAGCAAAUCUUGGGAAGAUUUCAAGUUUUUAUCUUCAGGAAACUCCCAAGCAUUCUGGAAGCUCUGCAUGUGAGUAAGAACCACUGCUGUUGCUGUUGCUGUAGCUGCCUGAAUCUAUGGCAAAAAGCCAGGAAAAAAAAAUUGCUUCACACCAUGUGCACCGACUCCCCUGGAGCUGGCACCACCAGGGCGUCUGCAGAGCUAUGUCUGACAGUCCUGCCAUUUCCUAACUUCUCCUGUGUGGUCAUCCACCUACCUUUGGGAACCUCCAGUCAUUACUCACAGAGUUGGUCUCAUCCUGGGAACUCUCUCUUGCCUCUCCCAGUGGUUCAUUCUCCAAGUCUGAGUUAUUUGGUCAAAAAAACCUCCAAAUGCUUCAGACAACUCUCGCAAACUUGUCAUAGCUUUUGGUAUUCCAGGCCACAGAAGAGCCCAGGUGGGUACAUGGGCCCUCCAAGUGUUUGUUUCCUCACCACUGUGAGUGACAAAUAUGCUUCUUUAUCCUUAAAAUUGUCCAGCCAGUAACUGUUGGAACACACUGACCUAGAUCCACACAUGCAAACACACCUUUCAAGGGCAAAUGUUAAUUCACAAAGACAAUUGUAAAAUCUAAGCUAAAGUUCACAAA